ensembl:lncRNA
GUGGGGCAAGGGCAGAGCUGGAAGGAUGGCCAGGGGUUCACAGCAGUGUGGGGAGGAGACAUUAGCUGCCCAAGAGGGCUGGCUGGAAAGGCUGUCCCUCUUUUCUCCCAGCCACAAACUCCAAUCCUGAGCAGACUGCAGAGGGUUCCUCUAUCUGAGUAUGGGUUCAAAUGCAACUGUCAGGCACCUCUGUGGAUCCCCCAUUCCUCUGUCCUCAGGUAUAUAAGAUCUCCCUCCUAGGGUUGCUAUCUAUGAGAUGUCAGGUAAUAGACGCAGGUGGCAGCUGUUGUUAAUAUUACAUUUAUUCCUUACUUGAUCCCCAUAAAUGUAUUGUCGACAUUGAUUUUCAUCAACCUUUAUUCAGCAAAUAUUUGUUAAGCACCUACUCUUCUUCUCCUGGGUCCUGUGCCACCACUAGGAGCAGCUGUAUGAUGCAAAUCAGGAAGGGACCCCUUCCCACCUAAUGGUAUAGCUCGGCCUGCCCCCAGUGAACUCCAAAAAAAAUGCUUUCUGUGCCUUCUUUGCAGGCCUUUUACUGAAAUAUCGUGUGAUAUUUAAAUAAAACAUCAGCAUGAGCUACCUGGAAGGCUGAGGCGGGAGGAUCACCUUGAAGCCAGGUGUUCACGGCCAGCCAGGGCAAAUAAGGAGACGUCAUCUCUAAAACUGUUUAAAAAUUAGCGGGGCAUGAUGGUGUGUGCCUGUAGUCCUAGCUACUUGGGAGGCUGAUGUGGGAGGAGCCUUUGAACCCAGGAGUUGGAGCCUUCGGUGAGCCACUGCACUCCAGCCUGGGCAACAGAGCGAGACCUUAUUUCAAAAAAAGAACAACAAUAACGUAACAACAGAAAACCCAAAACACCAGCAUUUGCAUUCGGAGUCCUGACCGGCAGCAUGUGAUUGAGGAGUGAGCCCACCUUGGACAUGGUCCUGGCCCGGGUGAGGACCGAAGCUGGCAUCCACUCACAGGGCAGCACCUGGACCCUGUCCAGCAUCUGAAGAGGGCUUCAUCUGGCACAGAACAACUGCAGGGUUUUACUGGGAAAGAGUGAGGCUUCCUCUCUCACCCUCAUGUCCAGGGCUGGUGAUAGAGAGGACAAAGGGCAACAGACAGUGGCUUUUGCCUCUGCAUUUAGCUUUCAUUAUACAGUUCUUGACUUCAGAAAGACAGUUCAUUUGUUCUUAGUUCCCAGAAGUCAAAAUGAAUUCUGUACCAGAAAAAAAAAAAAAAAAAAAAAAA